rnacentral:rRNA from 1 species
CUACGGGAGGCAGCAGUGGGGAAUAUUGCGCAAUGGGCGAAAGCCUGACGCAGCAACGCCGCGUGAGGGAUGAAGGUUCUCGGAUCGUAAACCUCUGUCGAAUGGGAAGAAAUCUUGACGGUACCAUUAAAGGAAGCCCCGGCUAACUUCGUGCCAGCAGCCGCGGUAAU